ACAAAACAAACGGUGAGUGCUUUGGGGUGGGGUGACUGCGUACCUUUUGUAUAAUGGGUCAGCGACUUAUAUUCUGUAGCAAGGUUAACCGUAUAGGGGAGCCGGAGGGAAACCGAGUCUUAACCGGGCGUUAAGUUGCAGGGUAUAGACCCGAAACCCGGUGAUCUAGCCAUGGGCAGGUUGAAGGUUGGGUAACACUAACUGGAGGACCGAACCGACUAAUGUUGAAAAAUUAGCGGAUGACCUGUGGCUGGGGGUGAAAGGCCAAUCAAACCGGGAGAUAGCUGGUUCUCCCCGAAAGCUAUUUAGGUAGCGCCUCGUGAAUUCAUCUCCGGGGGUAGAGCACUGUUUCGGCUAGGGGGCCAUCCCGGCUUACCAACCCGAUGCAAACUGCGAAUACCGGAGAAUGUUAUCACGGGAGACACACGGCGGGUGCUAACGUCCGUCGUGAAGAGGGAAACAACCCAGACCGCCAGCUAAGGUCCCAAAGUCAUGGUUAAGUGGGAAACGAUGUGGGAAGGCCCAGACAGCCAGGAUGUUGGCUUAGAAGCAGCCAUCAUUUAAAGAAAGCGUAAUAGCUCACUGGUCGAGUCGGCCUGCGCGGAAGAUGUAACGGGGCUAAACCAUGCACCGAAGCUGCGGCAGCGACACUGUGUGUUGUUGGGUAGGGGAGCGUUCUGUAAGCCUGUGAAGGUGUGCUGUGAGGCAUGCUGGAGGUAUCAGAAGUGCGAAUGCUGACAUAAGUAACGAUAAAGCGGGUGAAAAGCCCGCUCGCCGGAAGACCAAGGGUUCCUGUCCAACGUUAAUCGGGGCAGGGUGAGUCGACCCCUAAGGCGAGGCCGAAAGGCGUAGUCGAUGGGAAACGGGUUAAUAUUCCCGUACUUGGUGUUACUGCGAAGGGGGGACGGAGAAGGCUAUGUUGGCCGGGCGACGGUUGUCCCGGUUUAAGCGUGUAGGUGUGUGUUCCAGGUAAAUCCGGUUCACUUUAACACUGAGGCGUGAUGACGAGGCACUACGGUGCUGAAGCAACAAAUGCCCUGCUUCCAGGAAAAGCCUCUAAGCAUCAGGUAACAUCAAAUCGUACCCCAAACCGACACAGGUGGUCAGGUAGAGAAUACCAAGGCGCUUGAGAGAACUCGGGUGAAGGAACUAGGCAAAAUGGUGCCGUAACUUCGGGAGAAGGCACGCUGACACGUAGGUGAAGUGAUUUACUCACGGAGCUGAAGUCAGUCGAAGAUACCAGCUGGCUGCAACUGUUUAUUAAAAACACAGCACUGUGCAAACACGAAAGUGGACGUAUACGGUGUGACGCCUGCCCGGUGCCGGAAGGUUAAUUGAUGGGGUCAGCGCAAGCGAAGCUCCUGAUCGAAGCCCCGGUAAACGGCGGCCGUAACUAUAACGGUCCUAAGGUAGCGAAAUUCCUUGUCGGGUAAGUUCCGACCUGCACGAAUGGCGUAAUGAUGGCCAGGCUGUCUCCACCCGAGACUCAGUGAAAUUGAACUCGCUGUGAAGAUGCAGUGUACCCGCGGCAAGACGGAAAGACCCCGUGAACCUUUACUAUAGCUUGACACUGAACAUUGAGCCUUGAUGUGUAGGAUAGGUGGGAGGCUUUGAAGCGUGGACGCCAGUCUGCGUGGAGCCGACCUUGAAAUACCACCCUUUAA
rnacentral:rRNA from 1 species